rnacentral:lncRNA from 1 species
UGGAGAAUGCGAGUGUGUGUGCACACACGUGUCCCUCGCCCUCUUCCUCAGAGGCUGGCACACUAUGCGCUACAAACGUGUGGGCGUUUUUAGACUUUGUUUCUCCAGGGGAGGGACUUUAAACGCUGAGUUUCCUCCUUGGAGGAAUCUGAAUUGUGCAUUAGCAGAAACUACUCAGAUCAAAUAAAGCUCUUGUGAGUUCUGCAAGACUUGGAACUGUGGGAGCCGCUGGCCGCUGUGUGGCGGGUUGGAAGUACGUUCACGCACGCGCAGCCAAGCAGAUCUUCCACGGGCUGUAGAGCCUUUUCUGCACCUGCUGCUGGAAGUUGUUACCUCAAGUGAGCCGUUUGUGUGACUCUUCGUAAGGAACAUGAGUCACAUGAAAGGGCACAUUGCCUUCGGGGACAUAAUCAAAUGCCUGAAUGACAAGUAUGAAGAGUGUCACCCUCAAUGACACCUUGGAAUCCUCAAACUGUUUUUCGUGGAGCCCGUCAGCAGGUGGAUGAUGGCCGGUUCCCCUUGGGAGAAGACUGCUCACCUGGCGCUGCUCAGCAAGGCCCCCUGUCUGCAGACCAGUCCCCUCACAUGCGACUUCAAAUCGCAGGAAAGACUUGCCCUGAGAGGAAGCAUCUCGAGGGAGCACAUUGGGUCUGCGCCGGACAGGAGGGGCUGGUCAGUGGGGGCAGCGGGGGGUGGUGGGGGGCACUGGAGGCCAUGUGGGCUGAGGGCUCAGCAUGUGUGCCUGGGGGCCGCUGCGGGGCCCCUGGAGCGUGGCCCUGGAUCCUGGCACUUCCCAGGCUGUACCCACCCGGUCCCAGGAGCCACCCAGCUCAGCCUCCAAGGUUCAGUUAACACACACAGUCAGGUGAAUCGUCCACCUGCUUGCGGGACGUGUGUGUGUGGGGGGGGGUGGCCCCCGAUGGGGGCCCUGCGCUGGGGCCCAGGUGGAAAAUACGUAGCUGGAGAAAGUUUCAGGUCCAGGCUGAGUCCCAGGCUCAGUCUCCACCCUGUCUGAACAGUGCAGGUGAAGGUGCGUGCCCGGCCGUGAGGCUCUGGAAGCAGGGCUGAGGUCCAGCGAGGGCAGAGAGCGGCCUGAGCCGGGCAGACAGGUGCCCGGCGUUUCCUCAGGGCCUUCGCUCUUAGAAAAGAUGGGGGGGGGCCUCUACCGGUUCUGUCGGGCCUCCCGUGGCCUCCGCACAUUCCAUCCCACAUCAGACGUGGGCAGAGACUUGCGUGGGCAGGAGAGGGCCACCCAGAGGGGUGCAGGGAGCUACCGCCAGGCUGGGGGAGCAGGCCAGGCCGCCAGCAGCCUUUCCUCAAGGAUCUGGAAAUCUGGGUUUCAGUGUGAAAUCUCCUGAUUUUAACAUAAACGUGUUUUUUUUUUUGUUUGUUUGUUUUUUUUUAAGAGAAAUGGAGACCAAAUAAAACACAUCUACAGGCCA